UGGGGUAUAUUGCACAAUGGAGGGAACUCUGAUGCAGCGACGCCGCGUGAACGAAGAAGGCUUUCGUGUCGUAAAGUUCUUUUAUAUGGGAAGAUAAUGACGGUACCAUAAGAAAAAGCCCCGGCUAACUACGUGCCAGCAGCCGCGGUAAUACGUAGGGGGCUAGCGUUGUCCGGAAUCACUGGGCGUAAAGGGUUCGCAGGCGGAAAUGCAAGUCAGGUGUAAAAGGCAGUAGCUUAACUACUGUAAGCAUUUGAAACUGCAUAUCUUGAGAAGAGUAGAGGUAAGUGGAAUUUUUAGUGUAGCGGUGAAAUGCGUAGAUAUUAAAAAGAAUACCGGUGGCGAAGGCGACUUGCUGGGCACAAUCUGACGCUGAGGAACGAAAGCGUGGGGAGCAAACAGG
rnacentral:rRNA from 1 species